rnacentral:rRNA from 1 species
CCUGGUGAUGAUGGCGGAGGGGAAACACCCGUACCCAUACCGAACACGGCAGUUAAGCCCUCCUGCGCCGAUGGUACUGCGGUUUACCCGUGGAAGAGUAGGACGUUGCCAGGA